rnacentral:rRNA from 1 species
UUGACGGGGCCCGCACAAGCGGUGGAGCAUGUGGUUUAAUUCGACGCAACGCGAAGAACCUUACCAGGGCUUGACAUCCCCUGACCGCGUAUGAAAGUACGUUUUCACCCUCGGGUGACAGGGAGACAGGUGGUGCAUGGUUGUCGUCAGCUCGUGUCGUGAGAUGUUGGGUUAAGUCCCGCAACGAGCGCAACCCCUACGUUUAGUUGCUAACGCGUGAAGGCGAGCACUCUAGACGAACUGCCGUUGACAAAACGGAGGAAGUGGGGAUGACGUCAAAUCAUCAUGCCCCUUAUGUUCUGGGCUACACACGUGCUACAAUGGCCGGUACAGACGGACGCAAAGCCGCGAGGUGGAGCAAAUCCUAAAAAGCCGGUCUCAGUUCGGAUUGCAGGCUGCAAUUCGCCUGCAUGAAGUCGGAAUCGCUAGUAAUCGCAGGUCAGCAUACUGCGGUGAAUACGUUCCCGGGCCUU